rnacentral:rRNA from 1 species
UACGGAGGAUGCAAGCGUUAUCCGGAAUGAUUGGGCGUAAAGCGUCCGCAGGUGGCUGUGUAAGUCUGCUGUUAAAUAGUGAGGCUCAACCUCAUAAAGGCAGUGGAAACUACACGGCUAGAGUGCGUUCGGGGUAGAGGGAAUUCCUGGUGUAGCGGUGAAAUGCGUAGAGAUCAGGAAGAACACCGGUGGCGAAAGCGCUCUGCUAGGCCGCAACUGACACUGAGGGACGAAAGCUAGGGGAGCGAAUGGG